GGAGGAGGAGGCUGGGGCGGCAGCAGGUGGUCCCAAGGAGGUUGUCAGAAGCCCAAAACAUUCACGGCGGGCCCUCUUCCCUGAGUCACCAACUGCCAAAAAGAUGAGUUCAAGAACUCAAGAUGAUGACGGCGACGAGGGACCCUCCUCAGCUGGUCCAUCGAGCGGGCGUCCAUUUCAUACACAAAAGAGAAAACGGGAGGAUGAUGAUGGCGACGAGGGACCCUCCUCAGCUGGGCCAUCCAGCGGCCGUCCAGUGCACAGGCUAAAGAAAAAACUUUUACAGACAAGGCUGUCUGUGAUGUCUCCCUUCACCCCCAGACGGAU